AACUUUGAGUAAUCGCGGUAGUGAUUGCACUACUGAGGAAAGUCCAUGCUCGCACAGACUGAGAUGUCUGUAGUGUUCGUGCUUAGCGAAACAAUAAGCUAAGGCAACAAUUUGUUGACGGCAGAAAAAAUGGCUAAGGAUUUCUAUGCCAAAGUAUUCUUGAAAGUGCCACAGUGACGAAGCAUUUCUGGAAACGGAAAUGGUGGAACGCGGUAAACCCCUCGAGCGAGCAACCCAAACAUAUGGUAGGGGCACUCUUUAUUAGGAAAUGAACGAAAUAAGAGGCACAUUUGUGUAGACAGAUGAUUACUGAAAUCAAUUAGAACCUGCUAAUUGAUGGAACAGAACAUGGCUUAUAGAA
rnacentral:RNase_P_RNA from 2 species